ensembl:lincRNA
UGGACAGGGCUUAAUGACUUCUGCGGCUUUAGCUGGGUUAGCAGCAAAGGAAGGGAUGAGAAUAAAACGCCCCCAUAAGCCUAGGAAAGGACCUGGUUAGCCAGGGAAACCAGGAGCCACCAGGGCUGGUUUUAAAUUCAACCCCAUCAAUAAACAACUCGCCUCAGUAAACAUGCUUCAGCAGCUAGAAUAUCACAACGGCCCUGUGUCUGGAGCAGCUGAUUAGGAACCAAUCCAUUCCAAUAAGCACCCAGUGAGUGCCAGCUAAGCAUCAGUGACACCAGUGACCUCGCUUCUACAGACGACAUCCGUGCACUCAUGCUUUUUGGCAUCUGCCAGUCCCUGAAGUUGCUUCCUAAGACUCGACACAAGAUUUGUCAUCUGCUCUGUGCAUGCCCGAGCCCAGGGCAGCUCCCUGGCAAGACCCAACCUGACAGAUGGAAGCCAACCCAGAGGCAGGAGGGUCACGUGGAAAGAAUAAAGAGAUCCUUGCUUUACAGCUGGAAAUGUGGUUCUGAUCCUCCACUGCCACCCAAAGAGACUCACUGUCCCAGCAGUCCAGAACUAUUGAUGAUCACAGUGCAGCUGGGGUGGUGACACUACAGUAACAAAAUGACGACAGAACACAGCCACCAUGUUCAAGCGAGGCUGCUCUCGGCCUCUUUGUCCAGAUGGGAAAACAGAGUCUCCGGGAGGUGACUCUGCCUAGGGUGACGCAGGUAGGGAGUGGUGGGAGCCAAAGCCACUGUGCCCCAGAAAAGCAUCAGACCUCUAGAGCUUGCUGGGAGUGGAAACAUUGCUGAAAGUCACCAACCAUCCUACAGAAUAAUCCAGGUUCCUUAGUCUGCUCUCGAGAUCCUUCCUGACCUUGCCACAACCUUAGUGUCCAACCUGCUUCCCGUCACUCCUUCCACAACCCCAGGCCCCAGGCCAUUUCUUGCUGAUUUCCACAAAUGCCCCGAGUUUUCCCACUUACCUAAUGAUACUCCUUUACGCUCACGGGGCCUUUUCUAGGGACUCCACAAAGCAAAACGUUAAGCAUUAGAAACCCUCCCUCCCCACUGGAAAGGACGCUCCCACUCCUGCGGACCCUCGGCGCUGUCCUGCUCUCAGACGCUCCCAUUUCCCCUCUCGCUGGCAUUCUUACUGGGGGGCAGAGACCCCGUGUCAACUCUGAACUGAAAGCCCUCCUGAGACCAAGUGUCUGGCUGCGGGAAACAGGGAGACACAAUGAGGCCAGAGAGGAGAGGCAGCUGAGAGACGGUCCAGCUGCCCUCCCCAAAUCCACACCCUUCACUACCAGCAAAACAGCGUCCAACUUAUUUUUAUUUAUUUAUUUUUGGGGUAUCAGGGAUCAGACUCAGGGGCACUCGACCACUGAGCCACAUCCCCAGUCCUAUUUUUUAUGUUAUUUAGAGACAGGGACUCACUGAGGUGCUUGGCUCCUGGUUUCUGCCUGAGGCUGGCUUUCAACUUGCGAUCAUCCUGCCUCAGCCUCCCGAGCUGCUGGGCUUACAGGUGUGCGCCGCUGUGCUGUCCACAACUCAUCCUUAUAAGGCUCUGGAGAAGACGCCCCAUGGCUGUGUGACCUGAACAAGUCAUGUCAACUACCCCAGAACUUAACUUCCUGGGCUAAUCUGAGAAUUGAGUUUAUGCAUGUUAAGUGCCCAGAACAGCGAAUGGCUCCUAACAAAUAUAUUCUAUUAUUAUUUUUCAAACUUACAUAGAUGAGAAAAGUAGCUCACAUAAUAAGCCACAAGAAGGGAAUGAUCAAGACGGAAAGUCUGGGCUGGGGAGGUGGCUCAGUGGUAAAGCGCUCACCUAGCCUGUGUGAGGCACUGGGUUCAGUUCUCAGCACCACAUAUAAGUAAAUAAAUUAAACACAGUUCCAUCAACAACUAAAAAAAAUCUAAACAAACAAAAAAGAUGGAAAAGUCCCAGAAGGAACAACUGUUUCGAUGAAUGGAGGAGAGGCUUAGAUGUGAGCAUCAGGGGUAUUUUCCCCUAAGAAGUCACAGGUCAAGAGGGGAAGUGAGAGUUGAGGAUAUAGCCCAGUUGGUAAAGCGCUUGCCUCACAUAUACAAGGCCCUGAGUUUGAUUCCCAGCACCACAAAAAAAAAAAAAAAAAAAGUGGGGGGGAUGCAACUGAACACUAUAAAAUAACAAGUCAAAUGGUGGCAGAAAUAGGAAAAUACACCCCAUCCAGGUAAAAUGUAAAGACAGAAUUGGAGUCCACCUGCGACCCAAAGAAGAUGGUCUUAGGUCAAAGAAAUUUAAAAACUGAUCUUUAAAAAUUGAUUAUUUUUUUCUGACG